rnacentral:rRNA from 1 species
AGUGAACGCUGGCGGUAGGCCUAACACAUGCAAGUCGAACGGCAGCACAGUAAGAGCUUGCUCUUACGGGUGGCGAGUGGCGGACGGGUGAGGAAUACAUCCGAAUCUACUUUUUCGUGGGGGAUAACGUAGGGAAACUUACUCUAAUACCGCAUACGACCUACGGGUGAAAGCAGGGGAUCUUCGGACCUUGCGCGAUUGAAUGAGCCGAUGUCGGAUUAGCUAGUUGGCGGGGUAAAGGCCCACCAAGGCGACGAUCCGUAGCUGGUCUGAGAGGAUGAUCAGCCACACUGGAACUGAGCCACGGUCCAGACUACUACGGGAGGCAGCAGUGGGGAAUAUUGGACAAUGGGCGCAAGCCUGAUCCAGCCAUACCGCGUGGGUGAAGAAGGCCUUCGGGUUGUAAAGCCCUUUUGUUGGGAAAGAAAAGCAGCAGGUUAAUACCCCGCUGUUCUGACGGUACCCAAAGAAUAAGCACCGGCUAACUUCGUG